UACGAAGGGGGCUAGCGUUGCUCGGAAUCACUGGGCGUAAAGCGCACGUAGGCGGGUCUUUAAGUCGGGGGUGAAAUCCUGGAGCUCAACUCCAGAACUGCCUUCGAUACUGAGGAUCUCGAGUCCGGGAGAGGUGAGUGGAACUCCGAGUGUAGAGGUGAAAUUCGUAGAUAUUCGGAAGAACACCAGUGGCGAAGGCGGCUCACUGGCCCGAUACUGACGCUGAGGUGCGAAAGCUAGGGGAGCAAACAGG
rnacentral:rRNA from 1 species